CAUAUGACAUGUACUAACAUACCAUAUUAGUUUAAAUCAGUUGUAAAAUUUAAAAUGUUAACAUCUUUGAUAGGCAUAUUCAUUUAGGUUAGUUACAGCUAAGUUUACAUGGCUAGUUAAUAUGCUUUUAUUAAUUGCAAUUUUUAUUAACUUUCAAAUUAAACAUGUGGCAUCCAACAUCGUAAACUAAGUUUAUACUGGUGUGUUUAUAUUAUUUUAGAAUUUUUUGUUUUAGACACAUGGCAUUUGUUAUCCCACUGUAAGUUAAAACUAGUUGUAAAAUUAAAAAAUUUAUAUUUGAACUUCUAUUUCUUUUAACAUUCAUGUUUAUUUAAUUGAAUUACAACUAAGGUUAUAUAUGAGUUAUUUAUACUAUCUUAGAAUUUGCUGCUCUAAAGCAUGGCAUUUAGUGUCACAUUGUAGGUUUAAAUUGGUUGUAGAAUUUAUAUUGUAACUUGCAUAUUUAUUUAGUUGAUUUUAAUCUAAGUUUAUUUCUGAUGUGUUUGUAUUAUUUUAGAAUUUAGUGUUUUAGACACGUGGCAUGUGGUAUCCCACUGUAAGUUUGAAUAAGAAAAUUUUAAAAAAAAUUAUAUUUCGACUUGCAUUUCUUUUGACGUUCAUGUUUAUAUAAUUAGAUUACAACUAAGUUUGUUUAUGGCUUGUUUAUAUUAUUUUAGAAUUUGCUAUUUUAGACACUUGGUAUAAGCUGUCAUACUUUAAGUUUAAAUUGGUUGUAAAAUUUAUAUUGUAGUUUGCAUUUCUAUUGGCGUGCAUAUUUAUUUAGUUGAGUUUCAACUAUUAAUAAUAAUAAUAAUAAUAAUAAGUUUAUGACUGGCGUGUUUAUAUUAUUUUAGAAUUUGCUGUUUUAGACACGUGGUUUGUGAUAUUCCACUAAUUAGCUAUUUAAACAUGUGACAAGUGGUAUGACACUGUAUUGAUGUAUGUGAAAUGUAUAGAGUCUUUCAGUUAUCAGAUAAUUUCAAGGAGUUGACAUUGUCUGAUUUAAAGUACGAAACUGUGAACGAGUAACAACCUUAUUCAAAACCAAAACCUACUUAAACCAAAUCAAAACUAGCAACCAAAAACUAAUAUCUUGGCAUUGGUCUAUUUUAAACAUCUAUUAUAUAUGUGUGUGUGUGUGUUUUAUAUAAAUGUACUAGCUUGAGUAUAGUGUAUUAAAAACAUUUUUUUAACUAUUUAUUGUAAUUUAAAGUAUAUUGGAUUAAAUAUUAUAAAUAUUUGAUUAGUUUUCACUUUUUGGUUAAUACGUUUUAAUGUAGAAUAUCGAAAUAAAAUAAUGCAAUUAAAUAAAAAU